AUGACUGAAGCCCUAUCCCUUGUUAGUUGGAAUGUCAGAGGUCUAAAUGACAAGGCCCGUCGCGCCUCUGUUCGCGCGUUUUUUCAUCAACUGUCUUGUCCUAUAGUUUGUCUACAGGAAACAAAGUUGUCUGGCAUCAACGAUGUAGAUCGUAUAGAAAUUGUGGGUGCUGCUUUUGACCAACACAUAUGUUUACCUGCGGAGGGUACUCGCGGUGGUGUUAUGCUAUCUUGGAGCUCCAGCCGUUUUGCUGCUAGCUCAAUCGUUGUGCGUGGCUUCUCUAUCACGGCGACCUUCACAGCCGUGGGGGAGGGCACACCCUGGACUCUUACUACUGUAUAUGGCCCUCAUGACACCGCGCGAAAGCAAGCCUUCCUGAAUGAACUAGCAGACAUCCACAACUCCUUGGCUGGGCCCUGGGUUUUGAUUGGAGAUUUCAAUCUCAUCACUAACCCGCAAGACAAGAAUAACAAUAGAAUUAGUCGUAGGUGGAUGAAUAAGUUCCGGGACACUCUUAAUAGAUCCAGCCUGCAUGAAUUGCCCCUUAUUGGUAGGAGAUUCACCUGGAGUAAUGAGCAAGCGCAGCCCACGCUUGUAUGA
rnacentral:rRNA from 1 species